rnacentral:rRNA from 1 species
UACAGAGGGUGCAAACGUUGCUCGGAAUCAUUGGGCGUAAAGCGCACGUAGGCGGCCCAGCAAGCGGGGAGUGAAAGCCCUCGGCUUAACCGAGGAAGUGCUUUCCGAACUACUGGGCUUGAAUACUGGAGAGGGUCGCGGAAUUCCCGGUGUAGAGGUGAAAUUCGUAGAUAUCGGGAGGAACAGCCAGUGGCGAAGGCGGCG